UACGAAGGGGGCUAGCGUUGCUCGGAAUCACUGGGCGUAAAGGGUGCGUAGGCGGAUUGUUAAGUCAGGGGUGAAAUCCUGGAGCUCAACUCCAGAACUGCCUUUGAUACUGGCAAUCUCGAGUCCGGAAGAGGUAAGUGGAACUCCUAGUGUAGAGGUGGAAUUCGUAGAUAUUAGGAAGAACACCAGUGGCGAAGGCGGCUUACUGGUCCGGAACUGACGCUGAGGUGCGAAAGCGUGGGAGCAAACA
rnacentral:rRNA from 1 species